AUGAUGGCACCGCGGGGACCCUGCGUGGUGGCAGCGGCUCCCGCCGAGGCUGCGGACGGCAGCGGGGCAGCGGUGACGCCGGAGCACGGUAGGACUUGUUCUUGUCCCUGUCCCUCUCUCCGCCGGGCCCCCCUCGGCGGGCGCGGCGCUGCCCCGCACGAGCUGAUGCCGGGAAGAGCGUGGAGUGACGCGACUCUGGGGACAGGCGCCCCGCCAGCUCUCGCUGCUGCCCCGUGCCGGGGCCCGCGGGGCGCGCUGGCUGCGGGGGGGCCGAAGGCGCGGAGCUGGCAGCGCUCCCGGCCCGCCCGUCCCCGCGGUGCCUGGCGAGCCGCCCGCAGCCCGGCGCUGAUUGUUUCCCCGGCGCGGGAGACAGGUCGGGACACAUGUGCCCCAUCGCGCCGGCCCCGCGCGUGCCGCCUAUCGCCGCGAUCUUGUCCCGCGUCCAGCGCUUUCUUCCCCUCUCAUCCCCCCUCGCUUGGCACGGGGCUGGAUCCUGUUCCUCCCUCCCCGUGGGGCGCGGGAGGUGGCGGGGGGCCAAGGUGCGCCGGGGCGUGCUCGGCGUGCGCCCAGCGCCGCGGGGAGCGGUGCCCGGCUCCCCGGCGCGGCUGUGCCCUCGGCUCCCGCCGUGCCAGGGUGGGCGCUGCCAAGCCCGUGCCCGUCCCCAGGCAAGGGGAGGGGGUAGCCGAGUGUCCCCCUUCUCCAGCGGCUGCUCCGGGAGGGCCGGAGGGCACCGGGGUGGCCGGAGACAGCCACCACCGCCGCUGCUCCCUGGUUGGGUGCUCGGGGCUCUUUGCCCGUCUCGCUGGGCUGUCGCGGAGCCGUCGUGGCCGGGCCCUAAGUACUGACGCGGCGAAGGCAUCCAUACAUCUGCUCCGGGCCGCGGUGAAUCAUCCCCCAGCAAUGCCCGUGGCCGUGCUGCCCAGCCAGCCCGGCUGCCCCGCUGCCCGCGGCUCCCCGGGCCAGGGAUGGAGCCGGGGACGGCCGGGGUCAUGGGGACACGGGGGAACAGAGCCCGAGGCUGAGCGAAGUGAUGGGGACACUGAGGGACAGUGCUCAGGGCUGAGACAGGUGAUGGGGACAAGGAUAUGGUGUUCAGGGCUGAGUAAGGAGUGA
rnacentral:lncRNA from 1 species